UUUUACUUGAAGACAACUAAA
rnacentral:piRNA from 1 species